GACGAACGCUGGCGGCGUGCUUAACACAUGCAAGUCGAACGGAAAGGCCCUGCUUUUGUGGGGUGCUCGAGUGGCGAACGGGUGAGUAACACGUGAGUAACCUGCCCUUGACUUUGGGAUAACUUCAGGAAACUGGGGCUAAUACCGGAUAGGAGCUCCUGCUGCAUGGUGGGGGUUGGAAAGUUUCGGCGGUUGGGGAUGGACUCGCGGCUUAUCAGCUUGUUGGUGGGGUAGUGGCUUACCAAGGCUUUGACGGGUAGCCGGCCUGAGAGGGUGACCGGCUACAUUGGGAAUGAGAUACGGCCCAGAAUCCUACGGGAGGCAUCAGUGGGGAAUAUUGCACAAUGGGCGGAAGCCUGAUGCAGCAACGCCGCGUGCGGGAUGACGGCCUUCGGGUGGUAAACCGCUUUCGCCUGUGACGAAGCGUGAGUGACGGUAAUGGGUAAAGAAGCACCGGCUAACUACGUG
rnacentral:rRNA from 1 species